CAGGUUGGUACAUUAUUAAAAGCCAUGGGCCCUGACAUCACACAUGAUGAUUAUAAUGUGAAGAGACGAGACUGAGACUAUAAAGAAAGACCAGGAGUGAGCUAACUUGAAUGAUACCAAGGAAGAUGAUAUAAUAUGAAGUAUAUCCUCAUCUGGUAAAGACAGACAGAACUCUGAAGUGGAAAGAGCACUUGUCAAGAUAUCAGGAGAUGACGGCUUUGUGAGUUCUGUCACUAACCAGUGUAUGUUCUUGACCAAAUAAUUUUACCUCUCUCAACCUUGGUUGCUCCAUCCACCAAACGAUAGCGAUCUGAAUUCGUCAGCUUCUUUUCUAUUAUGACACUUGAUUACUUCAUCACCAGAAGCUGAGCUCCCAGCUUGAGUAUGCAACAUGUCUGGACAUGUUUGGCUAAUUACUGUGGCAGCCAGCCUGCUGGCCAUUGCAGAAUGACCCAGAUGCUUCCUGAGAGAACUCAGGUUUAAGGAAGAGAAAACCAAACUCCAGGAGUCUGACAGCAACAAAGCCUUAGUUGACAGAAAGGUAGUUAUUUUGGAUGCAUAAGUGUUUAUUAUUCUUAUUUGCCUCCUAACUCCAUGUCUAAGUUCAAGAAAAAGCAAAUUAAUUAAUAAAAACCAAAAGACUGGGUUUGCUAAACAACUUUUAAAAAUAUAGGGUCAAAACUGUUUUGUACAUAAUGAAAGAAAUUAUAGAUGACACAAACAGAAAAACAUUUCAUGCUUAUGAAUCAGAAUUAACAGUGUAAAAAUGGCCAUUGUGCCCAAAGCAAUCUAAAUAUUCAGUGCAUUAUCAUUAUCAAAAUGCCAAUGUUGUUUUUCACAGAAUUAGAAAAAAACAUCCUAAAAUUUAUAUGGAACCAAAGAAGAGCCCAAAUACAAAAAGAACAAAGCUGGAAGCAUCACAUUACCUGAAUUGAAAUUAUAUUAUAAGACUGUAGUAACCAAAACAGCAUGGUACUGUUAUAAAAAUAGACACAUAAAUCAAUAGAACAGAAUAGAGAACCCAAAAAUAAAGGCACAUAUUUAUAGCCAACUGAUCUUUGAUAAAGUCAACAAGAAGACACAUUAGGGAAAGGACACUCUUUUCAAUAAAUGGUGCUGGGAAAAUUGGAUAGCCACAUGCAAAAGAAUUAAACUGGACUCCUAUCUCUUACAAUAUACAAAAAUCAACUCAAGAUGAAUUAACAACUAAAACAUAAAACCCCAAACUAUAAAAAUACUAGAAGAAAACCUAGUGAAAACUCUCCUGGACAUUGAUCUAGUCAAAGAACUUGUAACCAAGACCUCAAAAACACACACAACAGCAGCAAAAAUAGACAAAUGAGACAAAUUAAAAUGUUUCUGUGUGACAAAAAAUAAUAAUAACGAUCAAUAGACUGAACUGAUAACCUUCAGAAUAAGAGAAAAUAUUUACAAACUAUUCAUCUGAUGAAGGAUUAAUAUACAGAAUAUAUAAGGAACUCAAACAACUCCAAAAAAUCACCCCACAAAUAAUCCUAUUAAAAAGUGGGCAAAGAGGCCAAGCAUAAUGGUUCAUGCCCGCAAUCCCAGCACUUCAGAAGGCUGAGGUGGGAGGACUGCUUAAGCCCAGGAGUGUGAGACCAUCCUGGGCAACACAGCAAGACCACCCACCUUCCCCCCAUCUCUGCAAAAAAUAAAAAACUAAGCGGGCAUGGUGGUGCACACUAUAGUCCCAGCUAUUCAGGAGGCUGAGGUUGGAGGAUCAUUUGAGCCUGGGAAGUUGAGGCUGCAGUGAGCCAUGAUUGUGUCACUGUACUCCUGUACUCCAGCCUGGGCAACAGAGUGAGACCCUGUCUCAAAAACAAACAAACAAACAAAAAAGGUGAGCAAAGAAUGUGAAUAGAAAUUUUUUAAAAGAAGACAUACAAAUGGCCAACAGGUAUACGAAAAAACGCUCAACAUCACUAAUCAUCACAGAAAUGCAAAUUAAGUCAGAAUGGCUAUUAAUAAAAAGUCAAGAAAUAAGAAUCACUGAUGAGGAUGCAGAGAAAAGGGAAUUCCUAUACACUGUUGUUAGGAAUGUAAAUUAGUGCAACCUGUAUGGGAAACAGUAUGGAGACUUCUCAAAGAGCUAAAAAUAGAACUACCAUUUGAUCUACCAAUCUCACUACUGGGUAUCUACCCAAAAGAAAAGAAAUCAGUAUAACAAAAAGAUUCUUGUACUCACAUUUAUCACAGCACUAUUCACAACAGCAGUCAUGGAAUCAACAUAAGUAUCCAUCAACAUAUAAUUGGAUAAAGAAAAUAUGGUGUGUAUACAUAAU
rnacentral:lncRNA from 10 species